CAAUACGGGGCUUAAAGUCUUGUAAUUGGAAUGAUGGGAAUUUAAACCUCUUCCAGAGUAUCAAUUGGAGGGCAAGUCUGGUGCCAGCAGCCGCGGUAAUUCCAGCUCCAAUAGCGUAUAUUAAAAUUGUUGCAGUUAAAAAGCUCGUAGUUGAAUUUCUGCUGCAUUGCUUGUGUCCCUCUGGGGUCUGUGCAUGUGGCUUUUUUCGGACGGAGUUUCUUUGUCUGAAUGUUUACUUUGAGAAAAUUAGAGUGCUCAAAGCAGGCUUUCGCCUUGAAUAGUUUAGCAUGGAAUAAUAAAGUAGGACUUUGGUUCUAUUUUGUUGGUUUUAGGUACCAAAGUAAUGGUUAAUAGGAACAGUUGGGGGCAUUCGUAUUUAACUGUCAGA
rnacentral:rRNA from 1 species